UAAUGUUAGAUUCUUUGAUAUCAGACACUGGCCAGUAACAGCAACAGAAAAGAAGAAAAACCUAUUUAUCGGCGAAAAAUACCGUAUACUACGUUUUUAUUGAGAUAAACGCUUUGGCCAUUCUGUGCUUUGGCUGUAUGCCUUUGUUUAGUGAUGGUAUGACGUAAUUGUUGAGGUCAGUUCUAGGAAAGGGAAAGUCCCAUACCAGGAAUCGAGUGUUUGUAUCAACCGUGUUUGUAUCGAAUUUAUGGCGUGAAAAACUUGUAUUAUAUUAAAGGUAGAGAUUCAAGAAUUAAGCAGAGAUGUUUAUAUUUCAUAUUGGAACUGAAUGCUUGGAGAGGUCACAACUGUGUGAUUAAUGGUAAGAUAUUUGUCAC